UCUCUGUUAGUAUAUCGGUUAGUACACGCGCCUGUCACUUAUGUUGAACGCGCGAAAGCUGGGUUCGACUCCCAGACAGAGAG
rnacentral:tRNA from 1 species